rnacentral:rRNA from 1 species
UUUUUGGAAAUAAUUUAAAGUCUAAUCUGCCCACUGAUAAAUAUAUUAAAGGGCUGCAGUAUUUUGACUGUACAAAGGUAGCAUAAUCAUUAGUCUCUUAAUUGGUGACUUGUAUGAAAGAUUGGAUGAAAUAUAAACUGUCUCUAAUUAAUUUAUAAAAUUUAAUUUUUUAGUAAAAAAGCUAAAAUAAUUUUAAAAGACGAGAAGACCCUAUAGAGUUUCAUAAUUUAUUUGAUUAUUAUUAAUAUGUAAAUUUUAAAAUUAAAAUUAAAUAAAUUAUUUUGUUGGGGUGACAGAAAAAUUAAAUUAACUUUUUUAAAUAAUUAACAUUAAUUUAUGAAUAAAUGAUCCAUUAAUAUUGAUUAAAAGAAAAAAUUACCUUAGGGAUAACAGCGUAAUUUUUUUUUUUAGUUCAAAUAGGAAAAAAAGUUUGCGACCUCGAUGUUGGAUUAAGAUAAAAUUUAAAUG